GUCUCUGUGGGGUAGUGGUAACCUGCGUUGAAGUAGCUUUCGGCCGCCGCUGUUCGAGACGCUGGUUCGACUCCAGCCAGAGAUC